GUCGCCGUAGUUAAGCGGUUAGAAUUCCUGCCUGUCACAAAGGGGGCCCGGGUUCGUUUCCCCAUGGUGGCG